CAAUAGCGUAUACUAAAGUUGUUGCAGUUAAAAAGCUCGUAGUCGGAAUUCGGAUAUGAGACGCUGGUCCGCCGCAAGGCGAGAACUGGCAAUCUCACAUCCUCCUUCUGGAAAUGUGCAGUGCUCUUCACUGAGUGUUGUACAGGUCCAGAUCGUUUACUUUGAGUAAAUUAGAGUGUUCCAAGCAGGCGUUUGCCUGAAUAGUUUAGCAUGGAAUAAUGGAAUAGGACUUUGGUCUUAUUUCGUUGGUUUUGGAGACCAAAGUAAUGAUUAAUAGGGACAGUUGGGGGCAUUCGUAUUUCAUUGUCAGAGGUGAAAUUCUUGGAUUUAUGAAAGACGAACUUAUGCGAAAGCACUUUGUCAAGGAUGUUUNCAUUG
rnacentral:rRNA from 1 species